rnacentral:rRNA from 1 species
GAUGAACGCUGGCGGCGUGCCUAAUACAUGCAAGUCGAGCGAACAGACGAGGAGCUUGCUCCUCUGACGUUAGCGGCGGACGGGUGAGUAACACGUGGAUAACCUACCUAUAAGACUGGGAUAACUUCGGGAAACCGGAGCUAAUACCGGAUAAUAUAUUGAACCGCAUGGUUCAAUAGUGAAAGACGGUUUUGCUGUCACUUAUAGAUGGAUCCGCGCCGCAUUAGCUAGUUGGUAAGGUAACGGCUUACCAAGGCAACGAUGCGUAGCCGACCUGAGAGGGUGAUCGGCCACACUGAAACUGAGACGCGGUCCAGACUCCUACGGGAGGCAGCAGUAGGGAAUCGUCCGCAAUGGGCGAAAGCCUGACGGAGCAACGCCGCGUGAGUGAUGAAGGUCUUCGGAUCGUAAAACUCUGUUAUUAGGGAAGAACAAAUGUGUAAGUAACUAUGCACGUCUUGACGGUACCUAAUCAGAAAGCCACGGCUAACUACG